rnacentral:rRNA from 1 species
AUUGAACGCUGGCGGCAGGCCUAACACAUGCAAGUCGAGCGGCAGCGGGAAAGUAGCUUGCUACUUUUGCCGGCGAGCGGCGGACGGGUGAGUAAUGCCUGGGGAUCUGCCCAGUCGAGGGGGAUAACUACUGGAAACGGUAGCUAAUACCGCAUACGCCCUACGGGGGAAAGCAGGGGACCUUCGGGCCUUGCGCGAUUGGAUGAACCCAGGUGGGAUUAGCUAGUUGGUGAGGUAAUGGCUCACCAAGGCGACGAUCCCUAGCUGGUCUGAGAGGAUGAUCAGCCACACUGGAACUGAGACACGGUCCAGACUCCUACGGGAGGCAGCAGUGGGGAAUAUUGCACAAUGGGGGAAACCCUGAUGCAGCCAUGCCGCGUGUGUGAAGAAGGCCUUCGGGUUGUAAAGCACUUUCAGCGAGGAGGAAAGGUUGGUAGCUAAUAACUGCCAGCUGUGACGUACUCGCA